GAGAGCGGGCGGUGCGGCGGCGGCGGACAGAAGCGGCGGCGAUACAAGGUGUUGCGGUGAGGAAGCUGAGCAACAAGUUGCUGGGGUUAUUGGUGGGAUGUAGGCGGAGGUGCGGACGGAAGGAAUCGAUGAGAGCUGUUCGGAGGUGGUCGAAUUUUGCUUGGCGGCGGUGGUUGACAGAAGAGGCACGGGCGGCGGUAAAAAGAGAGGCAGUGAAACGGCGGCGCGGGAGCAGUAGAUAUUCAAGGGUUUCACCGCGCGCAUGGGUGACACCGUGGUCUAGCCGUAGGUGUAUGUGGCGAGGAGGUGGCUUAGCUUAGCUGCGCUGGCGGAUGACCGACGACGGCGGCGGCGCCACGUCUCGGUGCUCAGUCACCGCCCGUGACCUUCAGAGCUUCUCCGCGGUUGAUCCUUGAUCCGAUGGCCUCUCGUGUUUUAACAGAACUUGAAGAUAAACUCAAGACCUUCAUCUUUUAUUUUGGCGUCAACUUGAGAUAAAGAUCGAAUUCACUGAAUUUUUGAAGUUUAGCUCGGGUUAGCUCUGAAUGUCGAUUGAAUUGCACUUGCUGUUCGUCAGUUCGACAGUGAUAUGGACUUUAAAUUGGGAACCAAUUUAAGGACUUAAGUCUUGUUUUUCCAGUCCAAUUUCUUCUCAAAGGUGUACUAUGAUCUCCCAAGUUUCCAUUUUGCACAAGAACAAGUACCUCUUUUGAUUUAAAUGGCUCUGAGUUCAAUCCCAAAGUUGAGACCACACUGUCAUUCAGACUUAGCAAAAGUUUCAGAGUUUCAGUCAUUUGUGAUCUUGUGCUGACUUUGAGCUCGAGGUUGACUUCCUUCCUUUUACUAUUCCUGGCCAACAACACAUGAUUAUUGCAGUCCAAAGUUUAUAUUUCAACAUGGUAUAGUUGUUCUAGUACACUUGGUUGGAAAAUUCUUCAGAAUUGAAUUUUGAAAACAGACUCUGGAACUGCUUUCUCUGAACCUAUUGUCGGACGAGGAACAGUAAACGGGAUUUCCCUUUUCUUCUUCUUUCUCUGAUUCUUUUGAGAUAUUUAGCACCAACUCAGCUCCAAAUUUCGAUUCCUUGCUUCCAAAUAAUCCCAUACUUGUAUUCCACAUGUUGGACAACUUUUUCUGAAUUUCAAAUUUGAAAUUCAAAUUUUUGGUCAAAAUUUGGCCGAAUUUGAUCUUUUUGCCAUUUUUCUUCUCUUUUCUUUUGGAUUUCUUUCUGAAUUUUUCAUAGUCACUAUGUUACUUAAAAUGGCACUUAUUACAACCCCGCCGCUGGUGAGCACCUCCAUAGAGUCCCCUUGACCUCCUCUUCCAAUCCCCAUCCUCACGACCGGACUGCCCCCAAUCCCGCUGGUCAGAAGCCAGCCGCCAUGGCCAUUAGAAGCUCUUUGAGCUUUUGUGAUUAGGCCACUUGGAGAUCCUGUAAUGUUUACAAGUUUUCCUAUGUCUUGCUCCUUUUACAAUGAACCCCAUAGACUUUAUCUGAUCCUUGCAAUCGAACCAAGUUGUAAUCUUUAUCAGAUCUAACCUCGAGCCUUAUCAAUUUCGCGAGCACUCUUUGAUGUGUCUUGCAAAUCUUCUCUGCUAGCCCCUAUUGUCUAGGGUUAGUCACGAUUAGACCCUGUAGCUUGUUUCAUCGAUCCUUUGUUUUAGCUCCGUUUAACCUCAUUCUUAUUGUGUUAGGUUGAUGAUAACAUAAAUUACACGUUAGUAAUGAUGGUUUCCAUCAUGCAUGUUUUUGAAAAUAAAUUUAAUAUUAAUUUUAUUGAUGCCUGUUAAACAUGUCUUCCUUAAUUAAAAGCUACUAUACACCUCUUUUUAUAAUCAAUGUUAAUUUGAUUAAUGCUUACUUCAUAUAUUUUUCUAAAUAAAAGCUAAGUAGAGCUACACCUCGGUUUUUCAUAAACUAAUGUUAAUUAUUUUAAUAUUCAACACUGAGUCAACUUUUCCAAAUAAAAGUUGAUUAGGCUUUUACACUGGCUUUUAUAAAUAAAUAUUAACUUGAUUAAUACCAACAUGAUUAUGUUUUCAAUAACAAUUUGAUCCACUUGAAUCAUAAAGUAUAUGUUUAGAUCUUUCAUAUAGUUUGGCUUUUCUAAAAGUUAAAUGUUUAAAUGAUAUAAUUUAUACUUCAAUAUUUACAAUUAAAAUAUAGAUAAAUUAUAACUCGGUUUUUCUUAAUUAUUGAUAAAAUGACCAAUGUCAAUAUGAAUGUGUUUUCUAAAUAAACUUUGUUUGGCCCAACACGACAGAUGUAUUAAUUCGAUUACAUGUGUUCAUCUUUCUAAAGUUAAGUGUUCAUCUUUUUUUAUUUGGUCUAACUUUAAUCAUUGACAAGUAAGCCUAAUAAUAAUCAUUGAUGGGUGGAACAAUUGUUUUAUUGGUACGUGUCCCUCUCCAUCUCCCCCAACCGGCCCUACCCCGCGUCCAAGCCCCGGCGACGCCCGCCGCUGCGUUCCCCGCCCGCGUCGCCGUCCCCGAGGAGAUCCACAUCCACCGCGCCGUCGGAGACCCUCUCCUUCCUCAUCGCGAGAACCUUCUCCAGCAACGGCGCCUCGUCUUCCUACUCGAAGCCGCUGCCCUCGCUCUUCCGCGGCGUACGUCCCAGCCCCAAGCCCGGCGCCGCGCUAGCCGGCGCUGCCGCGGCAUCCCGAGCGGUCCUUACCCCGCACGCGGCUGCAAUCAAGUCCCGCCGAUCAGUCUCGGCGCCCGUCGAGAAGCUCCUGGAGGAGGGCAGUGGCUUCGAGGCUUCCGAGGAGCUCCCUUCCACUGGAAGCUUGGAAACAGAGGUAGAAGAAAAGGGGAACUCGGAAGUGGUUCCUGAACCGACAAGAGCAAACCGCCAGUGGGAGUGGGACUGAAGAAUUUGAAGAGGAGAAACAUGCAGAAGUGGAAAUUGAAGAGAGUUCUGGGUCUACAAAGCUGGUGCAGGCGAGUACCCUUGAUUCUAUAGUCGCUGACGAUUUCAGUGGGCAUGAGCAAACGCUGAAAAUGGCAGCAUGGUGGAAACCGAUCAAGUUGAGAACCAUACUGCAGUUGUCUAUGAGGAAAAUGCAUAUGACCAAACUGGAGAUGAUAAUUAUGUGCAAUCAGCUCAGAGUAUGGAUCCAAUUGGGUCCGUUUCUGAGGAAAGUUUUGAUGAUGAUCGGGAGGCCGACAGAUCCGACAGAAUCAUCGAAGACCAAGUGGAAUCUGAGAGUUCAAUUGAUAAGGUGAUCGAGGAGAGAAUGGGGCAGCUGGAGAUCAGCAGGAAGGCUGAGAAGAAUGCAGAGAAGAAACAGAAAGUGUCGAUGAAACCGUUGGAGUUGGCAGAGGAGCUUGAGAAGAGGCAGGCCUCGUUUGGUCAACACUGGAAAGAAGGAGCAGCUGCCCAACCCAUGCAACUAGAGGGGAUAGGAAAGGGCCCACCAGCUAUUGGUUACAUGCAAAUCGAGAUGGACAACCCAGUAACUCGUGCCAUGUCCUCACCGUCAUUUAGGCCGGACACCAGGUGCUGGCAGUUCAUGGGAGCUAUAUAGCGAUGGGCACGUCUAAAGGUGCUGUCAUUGUCAUUCCAAGCAAAUACUCCAUUCAUCAAGCUGAAUAUAGCUAUAUAGCUAUAUACUCCGGAUUCAGUAUUUCGAUUUUUGAGACGUUAUGUGAAUAGGACAAUUGUUGAACUUGAGGCUGCAGCACAGGAAGAACUUAAGAUAUAACUGAACUGCGUCUUGCAAAGCUUUUCUCAUCAGAGCCGACUGUUCCCUCUACUACUACUAAAACCCCCAACAUCCAAUCAGAUAAAGCAGCAGGUAUCAAUUCCAUUCGAUCUGCGGGAGCUAGAGUUGUCGAAACGAGAUUGGGUUCGCGGAGUUGGAAGAGUUCCAUGUGUGGAUCCCAGGUAAUAAACAGAUAGCAUUAAACCA